UACGAAGGGGGCUAGCGUUGCUCGGAAUUACUGGGCGUAAAGGGCGCGUAGGCGGAUGUUUAAGUCGGGGGUGAAAGCCCAGGGCUCAACCCUGGAAUUGCCUUCGAUACUGGACAUCUUGAGUACGGGAGAGGUGAGUGGAACUCCGAGUGUAGAGGUGAAAUUCGUAGAUAUUCGCAAGAACACCAGUGGCGAAGGCGGCUCACUGGCCCGAUACUGACGCUGAGGCACGAAAGCGUGGGGAGCAAACAGG
rnacentral:rRNA from 1 species